UACGAAGGGGGCGAGCGUUGUUCGGAAUUACUGGGCGUAAAGGGCGCGCAGGCGGCUCUGAAAGUCAGAUGUGAAAGCCCCGGGCUUAACCUGGGAAUUGCAUUUGAUACUCUGGAGCUUGAGUUCGGGAGAGGUGAGUGGAACUGCGAGUGUAGAGGUGAAAUUCGUAGAUAUUCGCAAGAACACCAGUGGCGAAGGCGGCUCACUGGCCCGAUACUGACGCUGAGGCACGAAAGCGUGGGGAGCAAACAGG
rnacentral:rRNA from 1 species